UUAUCUUCCCCCACCGUCUCUCUCUCAGUACUGUUCCUCGGGUGACCAUAUUUACUUCCCGAUCCUUCCACCGUCUUCUUUACCUUCUGGUUCCUUCCACCCGCUUCCAUUUUCCUUCCAGCGCUGCCAACUCCAUUCAAUUCAUUUACAUCAUUCUGCUAGCCUUGCCUCCGAUUUCUUCCGAUCAUCUCUUUACAAAUUCCCUUACUAAUACCCACCUGCUUUCUUUUGCUGUCUUCAACCGUGUUUCUAGAGCCGAUUCCAUCAUCUUUCCUUUCCUACUCUACUGCCUUUUCCCUCAUUUUGUUCUUCUUUUUUAUCUCACCCUCUCUCCUCUGUUAUUUGUUUAGUGGAGAAUCGAAGGGUUCCAGCUUUACCGAUCGUUUGUAACAAUGUCGACCCAUAGGUGCAGGUCCAGGGAGUUUUAGUUAUGCCAGCCACCUGACGACAUCGAAGAACAAGGAAGCACCAACUUUUCCCAUUGAUCUGCAACCUUCGUGAGGUGAAAGUUAUACCCGAUCUACCGAAGAAGGAGAAAUUGCGAAUUUGGAGGUAGUGUGAUCGAUUUUGAGGAGGAAAAAGAGUGUGGCUUGUGCGAAUUGGUGAUCGAAAUCAGAAGAGGGAGAAGAACCUGUUGUCGCUUUGAUCGAUCUUUAUGUUUGCUAACAAAAAUCCAACUUCCUUGAAUUUCACAUACCAGGGGCAAAUCACCACCAAAUUACCCUUGGGCAAAUCACCAAAUUACCCUUGAUUACAAUUUGUGGAGAAAUCUUGAUGCAUAAAUCCACAAUGUGACUGGAAUCCUACGCUUUGAACGCAAAAACAAAGCUGAAAUGCAGUAUUAAAUAUGGGCAUAGGGGUAGCAAAACGGAAUUAGGUUGCCUAGCUCAACAUUAUGAUGCUAUAUACAUGACUUCACCUUGAUUUGGACCAUGGUUCAUUGCAGGUGUUCACUGCUGAAUACUUUCUUAUUUGCAAAAUCUUGGAUAUAAGAAGCCAUAUAUAAGCUUCAUGGAUAGCAUAACAAUGGGGUUUUGGAUUGGUGUAUCUGAUCAUACCUACUACAAAAUCAUAACACAGGCAAACUUAACAUUUUAGCAUUAAAUAUUUAAAUCAUAUCAAAACUCGAAAUCAUACAUUUAUGAUUUUUUUUCUUUUCUACCAUACGGGUGUUCUGGCAAUGCCAAAAAAUGGAAUUGGAUUCUUCCCAAAUUUGUGGUUUGCUUAUAUAGAAGCUAAGAGUCCAGCAGAGUCAAAAUUUUAGUGUUAAAUUUUAAAAUCAAAACUGUAAAUAAUACAUUUUUGACUUUUUUUUCUACCAAAGGACUAUUUUUGCAAUGACAAAAAAUGAAAUCGGAUUGCUUCUAUAUGUCAGUUUUACUUAUGUAGCAGCUAAGGGUUAAGGAUCCAAUAAUAACUACAAAGUGAAAAGACAUAACUAUCCUUCUAAUAUCUAUUUAUGGCGGGUUCUUAUCUUGGUUUGGCUAGCAAUGAAGCUUUAAAUAACACACAAUCAUAUUAUUCAGACAUAUUAUUAGCUUCAUGUUAUCAAAGGUAUGACUAAAAAAAAUUAAAGGUAUGUAUCCAAUUUAUUAAACAAUAUACACUUUCUUUUGUCAUUUGAAUUUUGGUUUGAGCAAAGGCAGAAAAUCGAAUGGAUGUAAGGGAAACUGGAGUCGCAUAUGGUUUGAGCAAAGCUGGAAAAACAAAAAAAAAUGUUGUUAAUGACGCCUUAACAGAAGAUGAGGAGUUGAGGAAGUGAUGAGGUUAGACAGAAAUCAGGAAAAUCAAUCGGUUGGCAAGUGAUAUCCUCAAAUGACGCCGUUUUUCAGGACAAUCAGAUUUCGAUUAAGGAUUUCAAGCAUCAGUAAAAAGAAAUUCUUAUGCCCUUUCUGAUUUUCUUACAUUUGGAUAUAACCUUAUAGAUCAAAAGUCCCACAGUCCUAUGCUUUUUGCUUAAUUGUUUUUCAGUGCUUUUUUUUUUUUCCAACCUCUUUAGUUUGGAAGUUCCAAAAUUAAUUGUGAUUCCUGAAAGGCUGCUCCUUUUUCAUUCAUCUUUGCCACAAGUUUUGACAAGAUUCAUUUUUGUCCUUUUUUGACUUUAUCCCGUCACAAAUAUGAUUUAUUUUCCAUGGUUACAUCUGAUUUUUUUAGUUUAAAUCUUUUUUGUUUAUGUAAUUAUAGUAAAAAUUUUGUGCUAUUACUGAAUGUUUUUGCAAUUUUUGAAUCUUUCAAUAAUUGCCAUUGACAGUUCGUUUAGAACUUGAAUUAUGUUUCUCAAGUCAUUCAAUUUGCAAGUGGAUUUGGAGGAAAAGCUUCCAAUUUGGAAAACAUUUAAGAUUUGAUUCAUAAACAAUGGUUCAUUCACAGGUGUCCACUUUGCUGGGUUGUAUCCCAUCCGUUGUUGGAUAACCAAAAAGGGUUCAAUCACAUCCAUCCAAGCUGUCAAUUUCCCUACUGAUGAUGAUUUCACCAAUCCCACCCCUGCCAUCACUUCUACUCACUUAGAUGCCACUAUUGUACUAUGUCGACGGGUAAAAGGGUAUUUCGGUCAUUUUUUCAUUUGUUGUAUGUUCAGCUCUGUGACACUGAUGGAUUGAAUUCUAAAAAAUGAGUACAUAUAUUUAACCUUAACAUUCAGUGAAAUAUUUGUUUGAAGUUAUUGCACAAUGAAA